rnacentral:rRNA from 1 species
CAGCAGCCGCGGUAAUACGGAGGGCGCGAGCGUUACCCGGAUUUACUGGGCGUAAAGGGCGUGUAGGCGGCCUUGGGCGUCCCAUGUGAAAGGCCACGGCUCAACCGUGGAGGAGCGUGGGAUACGCUCAGGCUAGAGGGUGGGAGAGGGUGGUGGAAUUCCCGGAGUAGCGGUGGAAUGCGCAGAUACCGGGAGGAACGCCGAUGGCGAAGGCAGCCACCUGGUCCACUUCUGACGCUGAGGCGCGAAAGCGUGGGGAGCAAACCGGAUUAGAUACCCGCGUAGUCCCUGUCUCUUAUAC